AUGGCUAAAGUUAACGCCAGGGUCUACAUAAUAUCCCUGUCUGCAGUGUAUCUUAUUGUUGUAUUGUGGAGUCUGCAUGGCCACUCCAUUGCUGUGGACCAGGAAAUCAACAGGAUUUUCUCUCCGUGUGACUAUUCCUGUCCAGUGUGAUGAAAAUCAGUAUCCUUAACAUUCACACCUGAUCGCAAUGUUUACAGAAAACACACCUGUAUCAUGAUAACACACAAUCCAUAACAAAGUAUCCUUAACUAUUAAAACUGAUAUAACGUAAGAGGAUGAAAAGAGCAUAUGGAUUGUUUUGCAAGCAAACAAAGUUUCCCGUUUGGAAAAUAAUCUUCAAAGACGAGCUUCUGUGUCGAAGUACACUCCCUUAGCCUCCCUAUUGAGGUGCCCUACCCCCACCAUGCAAACAGACCCCCCCCCCCCCCCCCCCCCCGUUUACUCUGGUUGGCUAGGAACCAGACUUAGCUGAAUAAAAAUCUCCCUGCUUUCCAUCCAGAUAGAGACCAUUGAGUCAGAGACCUCACACAAAGACUAAUAGCAAUGGGAAUCCGCUGAAAAUAUGUGAUAUAAUCACAUUAGUGUCUUAAAGGACACAAAGCGCUUAGUCAACUUCCCUUGAUCAAGUCACAUCUGGAGGAGUGAGGGACUUGAAACAUAGUCCUGGCUUUCCCCUACUGAAAUUAAAGCAAGCUGUUGUGCCUUGCUUCCAGGCCGGAGGAGAACGAGAACUUUGACACAAUAAUGGAUUGCUCCGGCAGCAGUGCAGUUAAAUGUGGGGCUUGUGAAAAAAGGAUGGAUCUUAAAAGUUUUGGGAAUAACGCCCACAGCUUUCCCAGCGAGGUUGAACUCUGACCUGGAAGAUCAAGUGUUUAAAUCUAGAUCUUUGUGAUUACCUCUAGAUAACACUCUACAACACACUGCACUACAUUUGUCAAUAUGUAGUACACUUUGUGAUUCCAGGUAAAAUAAACAUGUCACAAUGUUUCGUAUUUUCUAAACUAUCUCUUGUCUUGAUAACAUUUGAAAAAAUGCAACACGUAGGGGAAAACAUGUGACACAUGUUUUGUGAUGUUUACCUACAAUGGUUGUGUUUUUUAGGGAUCAACAUGACUGUAAUAGCAUAAUCCUGACACCUGACAUUCAUAAAACCCAAAUUCUAAAUUAACAAAAAAUUAUGAGAAACUACAUUACUACACUGAGUAUGAUAUAUUUCAUGGAAAGAAGGUCUGUAUAAUUUCCAAAAUAUACCUGAAAUUACAAAUACCAGGUUCCUAAAGGGUUUCCAACUCCACACUUUACAGAGGUGACAGUCAUUAAAACUGCGUUCUGUUUCACUCCAAUUG
rnacentral:lncRNA from 1 species